ACACAGUAAGGUGAAUUGAAUGAAGACUUUUUUCGUUUUGAAGUUUGAAUCUAAAUCAGUCAAAUCAGACUCAUCCCUUUAAUUAAAAUGAGGGAGGUCAUUUAAUUAAAAUGAAUAGAGCUGAAAUAGCCUCUCACUGUUACCAACAAGACCACAGCUAGCUUAGCUUAGCUCACCUGCCGCAGCUCGCCUGCCAGGUGGUUUUCUUAAUUAGUUAAUUGGUUGCAUCUGGUGCGUUUCACUUAAAAGGGAACCGGACAGUACAUUUGUUUGUGUCUGUUUUUGAGGUCUUUUGUGACUUAUUUAACAUCUCUUCCAGUUUCACAUGUUAAAGACUUUUUGAAGUAAAGAGGAGCAUCUCAUCUGAACCUGAUGUCUAUCAUGGAUUAACUGCAGUUCUGUGAGUAUCCCAACUUAACCAUGAAGCAUAACUGCAAACUGUAAGUCAUUAAUUUCUCAUUACUCUUGGGCACAUUGAUGUAUUUUGGCUUCCUGGUGAGAUAACCUGUUACCUGAAGGAUGAUUUGAGUAGUAAGAUGUUUUAUUGGUUCAUGGGUUACUUACUUAGGUGUUUGGUUUAUGUUGGUUUUAAUGAUUUGUUAAAAUGUUAUGGUUAUUGUUGUAAGCUGGAGUAAUGGGUUGGGUUCUGAUAUCUUCAGUCUUCUUUCAUUCUACUCUCCUGAGCUCUGCAUCUUCAUCACAUGAGUGUUGCUUUAUUGAUGAGGUUGUGGUCUGAGUGAGCAGAGGUGCAUACUGGGGUACAGAGCUGUCUCGAGUCUACAGGUCUGUAGACACGCCCCCUCAGGGGAAACCGCGUGUUUGAGAAACUGUCGUGUCGUCAGUUACAUGGACUGGAAUGUUCUUAAAGAUGGAGACAGGGAUUCAGAAGGAGAAACACCAGGGGGAGAUGAGGGGGCUCCUCAUCUCAACGACUAAAACACAACUUCAGUCUGACACAGAGAACCAUGGAACACAUUCAACAGUCCCCUCCAGGCAUCGUGACUCCUCAGGAACAGUUUCAUUUGGGGCCAUCCCCAUAUGGGUCCUGCUCCUCAAGAGCCACCCCCCUCCACUGGGUGGUCUUCUGAACAGAUGAUCUCCUUCCUGUCCUCAGGCUUACUAAAGCUGCACCGUUUGCAUCUGUGAAGGCCCCUCAUUCAGGAAACUGGACUACAAAGACAUGACUUCAGAGAUGUUGAAUCAACCUGGGACACAUUUUGGAGACUCCAAGCAUAAUCCAUCACCAAUGUGGGACGCCACUGAAGAAUGUUGUGCAUAAUUUACGUCUCUGGAGACAUUGGUUGUUCUGUCAUGGGUGCCCUGGCAGGAGAGCUGGGGGGGGAUGAUGGAAUGUUAUUUGAUAUGAGGUUUUUACCCUGCAUGAUUGUUUGGCCUUUUAUGGCUCAGUGAUGUGUGUUGGGUUUGACAUGAGAUGGAAGAUUUUUGAGCAUCACUAGGGUUCUACUACUGUGUGUGCGUGUCUCCCACCCACACCUGGCAUGGGGUUCUACGUGCCUGUCCUGGGUUCUAUGUGCGUGUGUCCGGCUUGCUUUGACAGUGAUAAUUAUCAUACGGGGGCUCUGUGUGAUUGGCUUGGGAUAUUGGAAUGGUCAACUAAAUCAUACCUGAUGGACGGCCACAUGUUUACUUGAGGGCCUCCAGUAGACCUGAAGAGCCCUGAGCGAUGCUCCGGAGCGAGAUCCAACACACUGGGCAGGAAGGAGAGUAUCCAACUCAAGUGUAAAAGGAUGCAAGCGGCGUGUUCAGAUCAGUGACUUCAAACUAGGACUACACCAAUCAGGAUCAAUGGAGGAUGGACACCAAAAGGAAUUCCACAAGGAGAGUCUGACGUUGGAAAGGGACCUAAAUGGAUAUUCAAGAUGACCUUCAGACCUGUAAUGAGACGGCUCUUCCUACCUGGCUGGAUUGAUGGAGAGCCCUGUGGAUCUUGUCUUGCUCUCAGUUGUACGUCUUCUCAGGCUAAACUGUAAUUGGUUCGGACAGGACUAGCUGAAGAACCAAUCCGGGAACUCCAGCUAGUGCGCUCUUCGAGCUGAAGUUGUGCUCUUCAGCUGAGGAGGUAAGGAAACCUUCACUGGGGCUUCAAGGUGUAAAGAGGAGAAUGUUUCAAAGUGUUCCAUGGUACUCUGAUGAAGACCGUUGUUGUGUUCCACUGGCUGCGAGGAAGAACCCACACAUCUUCCUCUUGGCCUUUCUCCUCUGAGAAUCCUGGCGCCAUCUUGAAGGAUAUUCCAGCUCAUGUAACUGAUGUCACGACAGAUUCUCAAACACUUGGUUUCUCCUGAGGGGCGUGUCUAUGGAACUGAGGACUUCAGACAGCACUGUAUCCCAGCAUGCAUCUCUGCUCACUCAGACCACACCCCCAUGAGUAGGAUGCAACACUCUAGUGAUGGAGAUGUAGAGUUUUAUAAGUAACGAGGGAGCAGACUAAGGUCAUUAGAACACAAUGGAAUUGUCAAGUUUGUAAAUCUUUAAGCCAUGAAGAUGGUUGGAUAGUUCAGGAAUUGGGCUUCUUUUUUAUUAUGGGCAGUCCUUUCACUCAGAUGCCCACUUCCCACAUGCCAUGGCUGGCUGGCAUGAUUUGCUGUUGGUGAUGAGGCGGUCAGGGUGACGUUGCAGGGCUAUGGUCGGCUCUCUGUGAGCUCAACGUUUAGAUUUGCUCUGUAUGGUUUGUACCCUGAAUAAUCUAGAUAAUUGUAAAAUGUAGACAUGGUUUUGUAUUGAAUGAUUCCCGGAUUUUAGGUUUAAAGUUGUUGUGGGAAGUACAUGGUAGUUUGGUUCUUCGUAUGGUUUUGAGUGAUAUAACUUGUACACACUGGGUGCAUAAUAAUGUAAAGGUACACUGAAUAGUAUUAAUGACCAACAGCAACAAACAGAUCUCCUCAAGGUAAGUCUGUUGGCUGUAUUUUAAUGAAGACCAUCGCUGGACUUCAGGAUCUUCCUCCGUUCAGCUCAAGGUGAGGCGCUGGUUCUGUUUUUUCUUUGGUUGGUUCCGGCCGGAAUGUUCGGAUUCUGGUCGGACGGUUUGUGCUUCCCGCCGUGGAAGGUUGAGUGCGAUCACUUGAUUUAGUCCCAAUGGUUAGCAUAGAACGUUGUAGUCUUGACAACCAUAAGAAACCACCUGGCAGUUAGUUUGACUGGAGUCCCCUGAGGGAAUCUGGCGGAACGUUCUUGAUGUAUUUGAGUAACCUCGAGGCGUUGCCAACGGAAACAAUUUCGGUUUCCAUUGGGAAUUGUUGCCCCUAUCUUAAACAACUACAUUAUGUACAUUAUGUUGAUAAUUUCCGAUGGUUGCGCCGUACUUUUAACCACGAUGACGUUGCGGGACUCUCACUGCGUACAAAACAGCGUUCUACUUGCGGGCCCAUUUUUGACAUCAGGGAAGGCUGAAAAUCAUUUCAAGGUGGAAGAUAAUUUGACGUUUCUUCAACGGAACCCAGCACCUGAAUAUGGCUGAGUAUAUUUGAUUUAAUAUCGAUACUGCUUAGUGUUCUUUGUUACUUCAGUUUUUGUACGUUCUAAAUAUCUGCCGUCAUUAAUUGCCACAGAAGUUAAACCCUACCCAAUGGAAUGACAUUAAACAACGACUUUGGUGCAGAGUUACCAACUGGAUAAUAUCAAAGCUAAACUAAUGGCCGUCGUUCCCACGUGUUACAGUAGAAGAUACUCUAGAACUGUACAAGGUUAAAAAGGUAACAUGUAGUUUGUCCCAAGGUGUCUGCCUCCUCACCAGAGCAAGACCUCCACCUCCUCACCCAGAGCCAGACCUCCAUCUCCUGUCAGAAGACCUCCAGAACAGCUGAAAGGCGAGGCUGAAAGGCGAGGCUGAGAGGCUGGGGACCGGAGGCUUGUGGUGCCAGGAUGGACCGGAGACUGAGGCUGGGGACCGGAGGCUUGUGGUGCCAGGAUGGACCGGAGACUGAGGCUGGAGACCAGGGGCCUGCAGCACCGGACCAGAGGACCAGGAAUCCAUGGCUGGAGGAGCCGUGCUGAUGGAGGAGCUGUGAUGAAGGAGCUGAUGGAGGAGCCGUGCUGAAGGCCCUGGGCAGGUGGAGGAGCUGGUGGAGGAGCUGGUGGAGGAGCUGGUUGAGGGCCUGCCUGGUGAAUGACGUCUGUCGUGGGACCAGGACUCUGUCUGAGGAGAGCUGCUGGAGGAGCUGAGACGCAGGAGGACGACUAGGAAUCGACCAACAAGGAUUCCUCAACGUGUUUCUGGAGCGGAGGCGAGCUGGUAGGGGAGCCGUGAAUCUGGAGGAUGACCAUCACUCUACCAACAAGGAUUACCAGGACUCUGGCUGAGGAGAGCUGAUGAAGGAGCCAAGACUCUGGAGGAAGACAUCACUCCACCAACCAGGAUCCUCAGAAUAAUUACGUUUGUGACCAGACCAGGAAGCUGGAGGACUGAUGGAGAAGCCAUACAUCUGGAAGGUAAAUCCUGAGGACCACCAGGACUCUACCAUCAAGGAUUCUUCGUAAAUAUGCAUUAUCUGGACAUAGUGGACUAGGGAAACACACCUGAGCUGAACCUCACCUGAUCCUGUUUGGUCGGGGGUAGACACACCUGAGCUAAACCCGCCCUGAUCCUGACAUCCUGCUGGUCCCUUCUCCUCAGUUCAUCUGAGCCUCGUCCUCCAGAAGACCUGCUGAGCUCAGCAGUCUGAGGCUGAUGGAUCAAUGACCUCCAGUGGGAGUGAUCUUCUUGACCCCACCUGUAACCGUGUGCUUCCACACGCCUUUCCCUCACGUCUGUCACUAACCUCACUACUUCACUACUCUCUAUUGCUUCCUCUUUUCUUCCUUCUCUGUGGUUCAAACCUUUACACUGAAGGCGCGUCUUCCUGCCCUCAGAGGGUUUAGCGUUAGGGUUGAGAGUCAGGGUUUAGAGUCAGGGACAGAGCUGGUCAGGGAGGACUGCUUUUACACAAACCUUUUCACUUGCUUUCGAAAUGGUGGUGACAUUUUGAAAAGAUUAAUUUGGGAAAAUGUUUUCCUCUGCUUUCCUGUACAAAAUUGUAUUAAACUUCUGUCAAGUGUUUUUGUUUAUAUAUUAAAAUCCCACAUUGACUUCUACCUGUUUGUGGCGGUUCAUUUAAUUGUCCUUUAACUUGGUUAAUGUCAAGCUAAACUCCUGCAUUACAUUUAAUAUACAUGAUUGUUAUUCUGCAAUGUUCCCAUGAUCCAUUUUGUAAAAAUAUGAAACCUCCAUAUUACUACUAAAUUCAAGCCUAUUCAUGUAUUUAACAAUGUACAUACUGCUCCGCAGGCCAUUCUCUGCUACUAAAACACGUUCAAUCCACCAACCCGUCUCGCAUCAAUGUAGGCCUACUAUAGCUACGUUGGUUCAAACGGAAAAUGUAGUUUGGUGUGAGAC